rnacentral:lncRNA from 1 species
AUAUUCAGUUCCUCUGUAACACCCCGGUCAUGGGUUCCAAAGGAAACCAGACUAAACCGGCAGUAUUAUCUAACCUAACCAAUAAUUCCUGAAUAAUCCUUAAAUCUUAUUCCAAAUCAAACCAAAUCCAGUCUUACAAUAGAAAUGAAUAACUUGAAUAAAUCCGAAAAUAAUCAUAAAACAAUAUCUUAAAAGAAAAUACAAAAAAAAAGUUCCUAAAGCGAUAAAAAUCUUCCUCCAUCUCUAAAAGCACACCACACUAGAGCUACUCGUCUAGUUCCUCCCAGACAUCAUCACAAUCACAUUCAUCACACUCACCUGAAAGACGGAUUUAUAAGAGAGGGGUGAGUAAUUUGGGGAAAUUACUCAGUGAGAACCAAACCAGACUCCCUUCCCACUCAUUUAUUUUCCACCAACAUGUCAAGAAUAAAUCCAACAAGCAACACACAAGCAUCCUAGCGAUGCACAAACAACUAGCCGGCAAUGAUGUCUCCAACCCGCCUAUCACACAAGGCCACACCUCCCAGUCACACAGCUUCACAAUAUUUAGUUGCUCUGUAACACGCCGGUCCUGGGUUCCAAAGGAAACCAGACUAAACCGGCAGUAUUAUGUAACCUAACCAAUAAUUCCUGAAUAAUCCUUAAAUCUUAUUUCAAAUCAAGCCAAAUCCAGUCUUACAAUAGAAAUGAAUAACUUGAAUAAAUCCGAAAAUAAUCAGAAAACAAUAUCUUAAAAGAAAAUACAAAAAAAAGUUCUUAAAGCGAUAAAAAUCUUCCUCCCUCUCUAAAAGCACACCACACUAGAGCUACUGGACUAGUUCCUCCCAGUCAGCAUCACAAUCACAUUCAUCACACUCACCUGAAAUAUGGAUUUAUAAGAGAGGGGUGAGUAAUUUGGGGAAAUUACUCAGUGGGAACCAAACCAGACUACCUUCCCACUCAUUUAUUUUCCACCAACAUGUCAAGAAUAAAUCCAACAAGCAACACACAAGCAUCCUAGCGAUGCACAAACAACUAGCCAGCAAUGAUGUCUCCAACCCGCCUAUCACACAAGGCCACACCUCCCAGUCACACAGCUUCACAAUAUUUAGUUCCUCUGUAACACCCCGGUCCUGGUUUCCAAAGGAAACCAGACUAAACCGGCAGUAUUAUCUAGACUAAACCGGCAGUAUUAUCUAACCUAACC